AAAAGCAGUGAUUCUGCAAAUACUCUCAGAAAUUCUCAGAUCAUUUGAAACAUCUACUAUAAGUUCUCAAAAUAAAUGAGAAAAUAUUACUGUAUUAUUUAAACAAAGUCCAUUUCUUUGUUAUAAACCACUGACUACACCCCAGGAAUACUUCAAGGAAGAAAGGACACAAGAAGAUUUCGGGGAACAUACAAACAUCAGGCUAGGCUUUCCAUACAACAGAAGAUCUUCAUCUAACUAAGCCAAGGUGAUGCUCUUGUAGGUCUGCAUAAGUCCUAAGAAAUGACUGUCUGUUUUCCUACUGUCUGUGUGAUUGAUUACACUGGAAAAUAGAACAGGUCUCCAGUAAGUAAUUACCAAACAUAUGAGUGACAUUUGAUGUAUAUGGGUUUAUUUGUUUGUUGUGCUUAAAGUCAACAUCCAGAGUAUAAAUAUGAACUAAAUUGUGUGCCAUAUUGUGAGAAAACUCAAAUGAGAAUGUUAAUUUAUAAGGAAGAAACCAUAAAUGUUACUAUUAAUUUUUUUGAAAAACAAAGCAUAGUAUUAUUAAAAUAAGUCAUAUCUCCUAGUACAUUUAAAACGUUUUUCAACAUUCAGCAACUCUUGGCCAUAGUAGUGCCAAUAAAUGUGUGUUGAAUUGAAUGUUUGAUCAAGAGACACUAAACAUGGAUGGAAUACUGUAUUGGGAUUCAAACCAUCUUUUCCUUGAACAAAUAAUACACAAAUAAUUUCCUCUCAGUUCAAUUUCUGUGAACAUUUAUUUGAACCACAA
rnacentral:lncRNA from 10 species